AAGACUAUACUUUCAGGUAUCAUUUCUAGAUUUUCUGACUUGAGUAAUGUGCGUCUAGAGUGUUUGGUCAUGCUGACCACGAUAAUGAGUUGUGAUUUUCCUUUCUGAGUGUGAAGUUGACAGAGAGUAAUGAUUCACUUCAUAUGCUCUCUUCCAUUGAUGAUUGCUCUUUGCUUCUUUAUGGAGCAUUGAGGAAGGGAAUGUGAUCAGUGUGGU